rnacentral:rRNA from 1 species
AUUGAACGCUAGCGGGAUGCUUUACACAUGCAAGUCGAACGGCAGCGCGGACUUCGGUCUGGCGGCGAGUGGCGAACGGGUGAGUAAUGUAUCGGAACGUGCCCAGUAGCGGGGGAUAACUACGCGAAAGCGUAGCUAAUACCGCAUACGCCCUACGGGGGAAAGCAGGGGAUCGUAAGACCUUGCACUAUUGGAGCGGCCGAUAUCGGAUUAGCUAGUUGGUGAGGUAACGGCUCACCAAGGCGACGAUCCGUAGCUGGUUUGAGAGGACGACCAGCCACACUGGGACUGAGACACGGCCCAGACUCCUACGGGAGGCAGCAGUGGGGAAUUUUGGACAAAGGGGGCAACCCUGAUCCAGCCAGCCCGCGUGUGCGAUGAAGGCCUUCGGGUUGUAAAGCACUUUUGGCAGGAAAGAAACGUCGCGGGCUAAUACCCCGUGGAACUGACGGUACCUGCAGAAUAAGCACCGGCUAACUACGUG